UACGGACCGGACAAACGUUAUUCGGAAUUACUGGGCUUAAAGCGUGCGUAGGCGGCUUGGCAAGUUGGGUGUGAAAUCCCUUGGCUCAACCAAGGAACGGCGCUCAAUACUGCCAAGCUCGAGGAAGAUAGGGGUGAGCGGAACUGAUGGUGGAGCGGUGAAAUGCGUUGAUAUCAUCAGGAACACCGGUGGCGAAAGCGGCUCACUGGGUCUUUUCUGACGCUGAGGCACGAAAGCUAGGGUAGCGAACGGG
rnacentral:rRNA from 1 species